AGGAUACAUGUUUGCCUCCCUGACUACAGCCAUCAGCCCUGGGGAUUUGCGCACUGUCAUAUGCUGGAGAGAGACUGCUGGGAUGAAAUAGAAGAAUGUUGGGAAUAUUGACUGGCUACUGACACCAACUUCCAAGGCUCGAGCCAUUUUUGCAAUGUGUGAGACUUCACACACUCGUUCCUCCUCUCUGCUCUUAAAAAAGAUUCUGGACUCACUACACAACUUACUGUGCUUCCUUGUCACCUGUCUUUGUCAGAUGCCCCAGCCACUCUGCUCCUUAUAACUUCCGCUGAUUUGUUGAAUGGAUAUGAGCAGCACUUAUCCACUCUCCUGUGGCUGAAUUACCACGGAAUCAAGAAAUUUAAGAGACAAACUGUUGACAUCAGUUGAGGUUUUCUUAACUGGACCAUCAAGCUGAAACCAGGAGAGCCACAAAGAAAAGUCUAUUCUCACCAUCCUGCCUAACGUUCCUCACACUAGCCAGAGAUAGACCAUGAUUUUACCAUUCCCCACCCCUCCCAUUUGCCCUAAUACCCACGGCUAUGACUGCUCUCUUGGUUAGGCAUGGUUUGUGCCAGAGCCGACUUUUCCCGUUUCUGUGAAACUGUCAUCAACCACGAAGAGUAUCUCUUUGAAAUUUUUUCCUAUCCCAGCUUACCCUUUCAGUGGUAAUUUCUUGUGCUACUUUCUAAAAACUACGAUGACGUCUGUUCCUAUCCUCCACUGAACUGUGAGCUCCAUGGAGCAGGAAAUGUGAACAUUUGGCUCUCUGGUGCUCUGGUGCAAAGAGCUGUGCUCAAAAACCUGGAAGGUGUUCAACAGUAUUGGUCAAAGGAGUAAACAGGAGUGGGAAGUCACUUUAGAAAUGGCACAAAACCCUUCUUCACUAUGAAGACAGCCAAGAACAUACAGAUAGAAUACACAGAAUCCAUGAGGGGAAAGAUAGGAUUCGCCUGCAGGACAGAGGUACUUCGACGGGUAGGUGGGAGCAAACUUGAACUUCUGGACCGAGGAGCAAGUGAGACAAGCUCUUGAUGUGGAGCUCUCUCCUGCCUUGCUCAGUCUAAUUGUGCUCUUGAAAUUUCAAAAAGAAACUCAGGCAGAGAAACACAUGGAUCUCUUUUCAUAAAUAUGUUCAUGGCUCCAAUCAGAAAUGCCAGCCUCCGAAGAACUGACAGAAACAGUUGAUGUAUACACACACACACACACACACACACACACACACACACACACACACACACGUUUAAGGUUUCAAUGUAUACAUUAUAUAUGCUACUGUGUCACAUAGGAUGUUCCAUGCAAAUGCAUGUGUGUUGAACACACUCCCCAUAUCUCCCUAUACUACCAUUUCCUUUAUGCCUCUCCCUGAGUCAUCUUUGUUUCACUAGGAAGUUUGCCUUCCAAUUUUAUGUGACAUCAUAUACUUGACUUUAUGUAUCUCUAUAAAAUCUAGGAACCAUGAAUGACAGAAAAUAUGACAUUUGUGUUUCUGAGAUGAACUUAAUUCACCUGAUAUGAUUAACUCUAGUUAUAUCCAUUUCUCUCUCAACAAAUGACACAAUUUCAUUUUUUCUUUAAAUCUGAAAAUUCCCAUGGUGCAUAUAUAGCAGAUUUUCUCUAUCCACUCCUUGGUUGUUGGACACAUAGGCUGAGUGAGGGACAGCUGCAUUUUUAAGGGAAAUGGAUUAUUGUCUCUAAAUAUCUGUAAAGCUUCAUUUCAAGGGAUCCGGUUUGUGUUACAAUGGCUUUGAGGAAUCUUUUGACACAGCCCAUGACUGGACCAACAAUAUUUGGGUUUUCCUCCUUUCUAACCAACAGGAACUUUUGUAAACGUACAUAAAUGAAACCACUAACACUUGCAAAGGAUGAUCACCACACAGCCUGCAGUCUACACACAGCCCUGGGAUAAAGACCCACAGAGACCAGUCUAUUAGCACCAUGACACAGGCUACUUAGAGGACUCUAUGAAAAGGCCACUGGGAGCACAUCAACAAUAGGAGCACAAUGGUCAGAGCUUCGCAUAGUCACAACCACAGCAGACAUUGCCUCAUCUCUGUAAAACUGCUUUGUUAUGAAAGAUGGCUUUUACUGAUGACAGGUCCAUGGGAGAGUUUACUCAUGGAUGAGGGACAUAAGGAUGCACCAUUAGCCUUUGGAAGAUAUAUGGAUGGCAAAUUGUACUAAGAACUAAAAGAGAGGCUUGCAGCUUGGCUAAUAGAUCUGAGUUUAUCCUGUGACGUAGGGGUGAGGGGGAACAGACAGAGUAUUUUCGUGACAAAUGGCUUUGCUGAUAUUGAGGCCAUGGAAAGGAUUUGCGAAAGCAAUGGCACGGGGAGUCACUUUGCUUCAUUGACUGAAGUCUUUUCUAACUUACUGUUUAGGGAGGAGAAUCUGCAAUGUGCACUCGGGAGUCCUCCCCUGAGAGCUAUUUUAUAUACCAUGCUCCCUGCAGUAAGCACAGGGCCUCCAGUUUGCCAGAGGGCAAGAAAGCCUCUGUUUUGUCAGAGAUCCAGGUCUCUUAGGAGCCCAUCUACAUGAAGACUACCAGUGCAAAGCCACGUGGAUUAGAGUCCAGGUUUGCAGGGCACCUGCUGCACUUCAAGUAUUCACUGCCCCCUGCUGGAGACUCUGAGGCGUUCUUUUAAUUCAGACUUUAAUGAAGUCACUGUGCUUCCUAUCUGAAGGAAAUUCAGCCCCUCUUCUUCGCAGCAACUUUCCUUCCUUAUAUUGACUGAAAAUUGGUAAUUACUGGAAAACACGAGAAUGAAGGGGAGACACGCUCUUCUGCCUAAUGUGUUCUUGUGGAAGCCCCCUGAAACAGAGGAUGCACACAGAAGGACUGCUUCUUAUGCUGACAGCCGUGAGCUAACGCCACCAGCAUGAUACACAUCUCCAAACAUACUUUGGAAAGGUCAGGCAGAUCACAACCUCACAAAAGAAGGUGCUGACUUAAGGGAGGCCACCCAGACAGCGCUACCUCCCCAAACCUCCUGUCAGACCAGACAGCUCCACUUGCAAAUUAGGGAACUGUAGAUCCAGGUAUCUUAUAAGAUAGUGUACUUAGCAAGAAAAAUAAAAUAAAACA